rnacentral:rRNA from 1 species
AACGCGAAGAACCUUACCUGGGCUUGAACGUGUGGUGACAGCCGGUGAAAGCCGGUCUCCCUUCGGGGCACCAUGCGAGGUGAUGCACGGCUGUCGUCAGCUCGUGCCGUGAGGUGUUGGGUUAAGUCCCGCAACGAGCGCAACCCUUGUCGCUAGUUGUACUUUUCUAGCGAGACUGCCCGUAGCAAACGGGAGGAAGGCGGGGAUGACGUCAAGUCAGCGUGUCCCUUACGUCCAGGGCUACACACACGCUACAAUGGCCGGCACAACGGGUCGCGACACGGCGACGUGAAGCUAAUCCCUGAAAACCGGCCUCAGUUCAGAUUGCAGGCUGAAACCCGCCUGCAUGAAGGUGGAGUUGCUAGUAACCGUGGGUCAGCAUACCGCGGUGAAUACGUUCCCGGGCCUUGUACACACCG